rnacentral:rRNA from 1 species
CGAAGGCUUCGGCCUUAGUGGCGCACGGGUGCGUAACGCGUGGGAAUCUGCCCUCAGGUUCGGAAUAACAGCGAGAAAUUGCUGCUAAUACCGGAUGAUAUCGCGAGAUCAAAGAUUUAUCGCCUGAGGAUGAGCCCGCGUAGGAUUAGCUAGUUGGUGUGGUAAAGGCGCACCAAGGCGACGAUCCUUAGCUGGUCUGAGAGGAUGAUCAGCCACACUGGGACUGAGACACGGCCCAGACUCCUACGGGAGGCAGCAGUGGGGAAUAUUGGACAAUGGGCGAAAGCCUGAUCCAGCAAUGCCGCGUGAGUGAUGAAGGCCUUAGGGUUGUAAAGCUCUUUUACCCGGGAUGAUAAUGACAGUACCGGGAGAAUAAGCUCCGGCUAACUCCGUGCCAGCAGCCGCGGUAAUACGGAGGGAGCUAGCGUUAUUCGGAAUUACUGGGCGUAAAGCGCACGUAGGC